ACGUGAAUGUUUUGCAUAGGGGUGCGGAAAAUCAAUAUUAUGACGCAUGCGUAGAAAUAAAUAUAACCACCAGUUGCUUAGCUUGACUUCCUAUAAACUUUGCGCUCCUGGUAUCGCCGCCCACAAGUCAGAAAUUUUCCUGCCCUCCUCCAGGUUUUCCCGGAAGCUAAGACCUUAAGCUUCCGGCCUCUAGGGCGGGGAAGAUGUUCCGUUUUCCGCCCAAGUCCAACGAAGGUGAAAAUUAUAGGUAUUUUCCCCAGUUAAAGAUAACAGAAAUCUACAGAAAUAGACGUUUGUUUGUUUGCGCAUCUUUCUGCGCAGAUUGAAUCAACAGGUGCUAUGACGUCAGUUUUGCUAGGUUUGAUCACAGUCACAGUAAGUUUAUUCAGAUUUUGUUUUUUUUAUGAAAGUUUAACGAAGUCGAAACUUUAUAUUAUAAUUUUUCAAUUACUUUCGUAGAACUGUGCCGCUGAGUAUUUACUGACUUGUUGAUCUUAGAAUAUAAAUAAACAAAUAAAUUAGUUGUUAAGCUUUCUUUAUUGAUUAUUCACUUUUGUACAUUAAAAGUCAUCUUUAAUAAUAGUACAAAAUAUGGUAAUUAUGUAAGUACAUACUAAGGUAGGUACUUUGUUUUUAGAAGUCAAUUGACAAUUUUUGUUAAAUAAAACCUAAAAUUUAUAACAAAAUAUUAAGAAACAUGUAAGUACCUAAAUUAUUUAUUUACAAUUUUAUCAUAGUCUGAAGUAAUUUAACUUUGCAAUAAUAUUUUGUUUAUUUACUUGCCUACAAUUUCAUCAGUAUCAAAUUAAUUAUUGAAAUUAAAACUAAAUGGCAUAUACAUAUAAUUAUCUAUAUUUAUUACAUAAAUUUUGGUUUAGUGCGUCUGUUUUUAUUUUGUUCAAGUUAAUAUUUCUUAGAUUUAGACAAUUUACUGUGUCUACUUUGUCACUUACUGAGAAAAAGAAAAAACGGAAGCAAUAAACUAAAAUUCAUUAAUUUAUCUUAAAUCUAAUAAAUUAAAGGUAACUUAUCUAAAAUUACAAACCAAUAAUAUCGCCACCCAAGAAACAUCUAUCUACGAGUGUAGGUAUAUUUCUCAUCUUGUCCAGAAUCU